rnacentral:rRNA from 1 species
UGGUCGAAGAGUUCGAUCCUAACUCAAAAAAAACACUAGCUAAAGCUUAACACAUGCACGUCGAACUUUAUUUUUGAGGAGCUGGACAAAUGGAAAAGCGGCUCCUAGCUAAAGGUAACUUGUCUUACAGAAGAGGUGUAAAGUGUUAAGAGCAAAGAGGUGAACGGGUGCAUAACAUGUGGAAAUUUGCCAAACAAUUUGGGCUAAAAUUUGAAGAAAGCUAAAAAAAAAAAAAAAAAAAAAAAUCACUGCUUAAUGAGCUUGUGUAGUAUUAGGUAGUUGGCCAGGUAAAGGCGGACAAAUCUCAUGAUGGUUAGCCAGUCUUUUUGGAAGAUCGACCACACUAGGACUGAGAUAUGGUCCAAACUCCUAUUGAGAAGUAGUAGGGAGCUUGGACAAUGGUGAAAGCUUAAUCCAACAUGUCGCAUUAGUGAAAAAGUGCAAUACCACUUGUAAAGCUCUUUCAUCGAGUGCAUGAUCAUGAAAAAACUUAAGAAAGAUAACACAACGAAUUUCGUGCCGACAACCUUGGGAAGACAAAGGGUAAGUGAGCUUUGGAAUAGUCAAGUUAGAUGAUGUAAAUGUGCGAGAAAGACAUGACAUUGAUGUGUGCUUUCUUACCUCACCCCUUCCAUAGUACAUUUUUUAGGUCUCUUGUAUUCUCCUUU